rnacentral:lncRNA from 1 species
UAACAUUUGACCUAGACCACACAUCAAAGAUCUCAACUCAAGAUCAUAACAUAAAACUUGUAGAGUUUGACUUAGGGUUUCAAACGAAACUGAUUUUACAUUUUUAUGAACUUCCUAUGAAAAUCUAUGAAAUGUAGAGGUCAUCGAUUUGAAAUACAGAAAGCUUUGGAAAUUUUACAAAGAACACCCUAGAACUUUCCAAAAUAUAGCAAUCAAGUCCCUGGUCCGGGAGAACAGAUAACAGGAAGUUAACGAUGAUAUUCCGGCAAAGGGAUUGCCGGCAUUAAAAGAAUUUAAUAAAACAGGGCAAACCUUGGGGUAGUCUUGGUUGUGGAGAAGAACAGACGGAAAGUGAAUUCCCGUGGCGAACAAGAUUAGCGAGGAGAAGAGCUCGACGGUGACGAAGAGUAGAAGUUGCUAAGUG